UCUUCUUCCGCAGACGUCAAAGGCAGAACCUCCUCAAAAGUUGCGCUUGGACACCAGCCCCCUGGAGUGGAGUGUGACCGAUGUGGUUCGUUUCAUCAGGACGACCGACUGCGCGCCUCUCGCGCGCAUUUUCAUGGACCAAGAGAUCGACGGACAGGCUCUUCUCCUGCUCAAUCUGCCGACGGUGCAGGAGUGCAUGGACCUGAAGUUGGGGCCGGCCAUCAAGCUGUGCCAUCACAUCGAGAGGGUCAAACUGGCGUUUUAUCAACAGUUUGCCACGUAGCUGAAGGAAGGACAAGAAGCAAACAAGGAGGGGGACUAUUUAUUCUGACCUUCCAACAAAAAAAAAAAAAAAGACCCAUUCUGACCUUGCUUACACUGGACAGCACCUUGCCACCAGAACACGACCACAAUUGAAGAGGGAUGGAAAGAGCAACAUCAACGGUGAGACUUCUGGGUGUUUAAAAAAAAAAAAA